rnacentral:piRNA from 1 species
UAGACCUGGAUCUCAAGGAGAGC